ACACAGUGACGCUCAUCAGAGGACUGCAAUUGGCAAGAGGGGACAUAGAGCUGGAUCAUGGAAUUAAGAUAGCAAGGUGCAGAUCCAGUAAGUGACC